UACAGAGGGUGCAAACGUUGCUCGGAGUUACUGGGCGUAAAGCGCGUGUAGGCGGUGCCGCACGUCCGGUGUGAAAGCCCAGGGCUCAACCCUGGAAGUGCACUGGAUACGACGGCGCUGGAGUCCUGAAGAGGAGGGCGGAAUUCCCGGUGUAGAGGUGAAAUUCGUAGAUAUCGGGAGGAACACCAGUGGCGAAGGCGGCUCUCUGGAACGCAACUGACGCUGAGACGCGAAAGCGUGGGGAGCAACAGG
rnacentral:rRNA from 1 species